rnacentral:rRNA from 1 species
GACGAACGCUGGCGGCGUGCCUAAUACAUGCAAGUAGAACGCUGAAGGAGGAGCUUGCUUCUCUGGGUGAGUGGCGCGCGGGUGAGUGACACGUGGGUAAACUGCCUGGUAGAGGGGGGUACAUCUUGGAAAAGAUAGUUAAUAUCGCAUAUCAGUAGAUAUAGCAUGAUAUUUACUUGAAAGAUGCACUUGUGUCACUCCCAGAUGGAACUGCGUUGUAUUAGCUAGUUGGUGAGGUAAAGGCUCACCAAGGCGAGGAUACAUAGCCGACCUGAGAGGGGGAUCGGCCACACUGGGACUGAGACACGGCCCAAACUCCUACGGGAGGCAGCAGUAGGGAAUCUUCGGCAAUAGACGGAAGUCUGACCGAGCAACGCCGCGUGAGUGAAGAAGGUUUUCGGAUCGUAAAACUCUGUUGUUAGAGAAGAACGAUGGUGAGAGUGGAAAGCUCACCCAGUGACGGUAACUUACCAGAAAGGGACGGCUAACUACGUG